AUUUGCUUUCCGACCAAGACCCAUCAGAAAGUUGUCAGGCUUAAUAUCCCUGUGUAGAAAGCCCUUAGAAUGUACAUAUUCGAUUCUGGUGAUCAUCUGGUCCGCCAACAUUAAAACAGUCUUCAAUGAAAGCUUCCGGUCACAAUAGACAAAGAGAUCUUCCAAGCUAGGACCCAAUAAAUCCAUGACCAGAACGUUGUCAUCACCAUCCACACCAGACCAUUUUAUAUGUGGUACACCACUUCCUCCCUGGAGAAUAUUGUAUAACUUGGCCUCGUAGAGAAGUUGAGGAUGUUUGGUCUUAUUGUUCUCAAUUUUGACAGCGACGAUCUCAAAUGAAUCAAUAUGCGUAGCGAGAAAAAUUUCACCAAACGAUCCACUACCGAUUUUUCGGCCGAGCUUGAAUUUACCUCCGACGAUCCUAUCCAUAUCUCAGAUCGACGGCUUAGAUCAGAUCAGACUCUUCACAGAUCAUGAAAAAAAAAAAACGAAAAAACUCUUUUGAAGAUUCGGCGACGGCGCAAACAGCAAUCACACACAGAUUUGAUUGAAGAAGAAGAAAACGGAGUUGUAAUCGAAGCAAA
rnacentral:misc_RNA from 1 species